UUCCUACGGGAGGCAGCAGUGGGGAAUAUUGCACAAUGGGCGAAAGCCUGAUGCAGCGACGCCGCGUGGGGGAUGACGGUCUUCGGAUUGUAAACCCCUUUCAGUAGGGACGAAGCGCAAGUGACGGUACCUGCAGAAGAAGCACCGGCUAACUACGUGCCAGCAGCCGCGGUAAUACGUAGGGUGCGAGCGUUGUCCGGAAUUACUGGGCGUAAAGAGCUCGUAGGCGGUUUGUCACGUCGUCUGUGAAAUCCCUCGGCUUAACCGGGGGCGUGCAGGCGAUACGGGCAGACUUGAGUACUACAGGGGAGACUGGAAUUCCUGGUGUAGCGGUGAAAUGCGCAGAUAUCAGGAGGAACACCGGUGGCGAAGGCGGGUCUCUGGGUAGUAACUGACGCUGAGGAGCGAAAGCAUGGGUAGCGAACAGGAUUAGAUACCCCGGUAGUCC
rnacentral:rRNA from 1 species